rnacentral:rRNA from 1 species
UACGUAGGGGGCAAGCGUUGUCCGGAUUCAUUGGGCGUAAAGAGCACGCAGGCGGUUUGGCAAGUCGGAUGUGAGAACCAGAAGCUCAACUUCUGGCCUGCAUCCGAUACUGCCCGACUAGAGGUAGGUAGGGGAGAUCGGAAUUCCUGGUGUAGCGGUGAAAUGCGCAGAUAUCAGGAGGAACACCGGUGGCGAAGGCGGAUCUCUGGGCCUUACCUGACGCUCAGGUGCGAAAGCUAGGGGAGCAAACAGG